UUUAAUGAGAUAUUUUUUCAAAAGAUACAGGGGAGGUCGACAUAUAUGAAAUAAGCAGGGGAUGGGACUUAGUUGUAGAUGCCUUGGGUAUUUUGGUUAGUUGGUUGAAAAUACAUCGUCACCAAGGAAUAAGAAACACUUA